GUAAGUGGCUCUGCAGCAUCGGCCAAAUGACUAAAACGUUCACGUAGAACAAAAGGCACACAAUAAACUGCACAACACUGAGCCGAUUGCAUAACACAUUUAGUUCUGAUCAGGAGAAUGUGGAGAACAUAACGAUGCACACCAGCAGAACAUUGUGGAGGAGAGGUGGUUGCUAGGCAACACCAUCAGGAGACAACACAGUAUUCCUCACAGCUGAUGAGUCCAUUAAUUAGGAUCCUGGCGGUGUAGCGGUACCGUCUGGACCAGAAUCAUUAGUUGCAUCUCCAACUUGUAAACAACGUGAGACAGACAUCAGUUAACCUUCACACUUUGACCUUUGCACUGGCCCCCAAUUACAGGAAACAACUGUCAGAAUGUGGCUAAGGCAGAAACAUUCAUCUGUAUUACCUCAUUAGGUCUAGUUCUCAUGUGUAACCCUUGACAACACAGUUCAUUCAUAACAUGUAGGGCAUAGUCCUGUCACUAAGUGAGGCAUCGUUCAGACUCAGAGAAGAACAUUAGAUAUGUACAUCCUGAACUUUAGAAUACUGCUGCUGGGCCCUUUAUCAGACUCAGAGCUCUGUUGUUGACAUCUGUGUUAGUGUGUGUACUGACGGUAUCUGGCUGGGGUGUUGUAGUAGGUUGCUCUCAGAGUGCUCUUCCAGAAUUAGACAGGUCUCCCUUGAAAAAUACAUUUCUAAUGGGAUCACCCAGUGUAAAUACAGAAUCGACAUUUGUGCAACCCCCACCAAACCUCUAUCCACACCCUAACACCCCCACCAAACCUCUAUCCACACCCUAACACCCCCACCAAACCUCUAUCCACACCCUAACACCCCCACCAAACCUCUAUCCACACCCUAACACCUCCACCAAGCUCUAUCCACACCCUAACACCAACACCAAACCUCUAUCCACACCCUAACACCCCCACCAAACCUCUAUCCACACCCUAACACCAAUACCAAACCUCUAUCCACACCCUAACACCCAUACCAAACCUCUAUCCACACCCUAACACCCAUACCAAACCUCUAUCCACACCCUAACACCCCCACCAAACCUCUAUCCACACCCUAACACCCCCCACCAAGCCUCUAUCCACACCCUAACACCCCCACCAACCCUCUAUCCACACCCUAACACCCCUACCAAACCUCUAUCCACACCCUAACACCCCCACCAAACCUCUAUCCACACCCUAACACCCCCACCAAACCUCUAUCCACACCCUAACACCCCCACCAACCUCUAUCCACACCCUAACACCCCCACCAACCUCUAUCCACAUCCUAACACCCCCACCAAACCUCUAUCCACACCCUAACACCCAUACCAAACCUCUAUCCACACCCUAACACCCAUACCAAACCUUUAUCCACACCCUAACACCCCCACCAAACCUCUAUCCACACCCUAACACCCCUACCAAACCUCUAUCCACACCCUAACACCCCCACCAAACCUCUAUCCACACCCUAACACCCCCACCAAACCUCUAUCCACACCCUAACACCCCCACCAAACCUCUAUCCACACCCUAACACCCCCACCAACCUCUAUCCACACCCUAACACCCCCACCAACCUCUAUCCACAUCCUAACACCCCCACCAAACCUCUAUCCACACCCUAACACCCCACCAAACCUCUAUCCACACCCUAACACCCCCACCAAACCCUAAC
rnacentral:lncRNA from 8 species